UACGUAGGUGGCAAGCGUUAUCCGGAAUUAUUGGGCGUAAAGAGCGCGCAGGAGGUUAAUUAAGUCUGAUGUGAAAGCCCACGGCUUAACCGUGGAGGGUCAUUGGAAACUGGUUGACUUGAGUGCAGAAGAGGGAAGUGGAAUUCCAUGUGUAGCGGUGAAAUGCGUAGAGAUAUGGAGGAACACCAGUGGCGAAGGCGGCUUCCUGGUCUGCAACUGACACUGAGGCGCGAAAGCGUGGGGAGCAAACAGG
rnacentral:rRNA from 1 species